rnacentral:lncRNA from 10 species
CUUUGCUCAGGACUGGGAUGAGGGAGAUGACUAAUGUGUGACGCCAACAUGUCACGCCACACACCGGGAAAUACUAACGCAUAGGCUUCCAUUCCAGCAGUAUGGAUAUUUCCCACGAGCCUCUGACGGGUGCUCUGAGAAAGAUUUGGGCCGGCAGGACACCUGAGAGAGCCACCAUUUGCAGCGCAGACCAGCAGAAGGUGAUCAGCUGCCACCGUGAAGGAGACAGAAAACUCUGCCAUUUCCCUAGAGCUUCCUCUCAUAUGAAGCAAAAGCCUUAAACCACUAGAGGAGGAAGUGCAAACCCUUUUGCCCACUGGGCACAAAGUUAGUGAUCAGUGGCUAUAGGGGUGGAGAGAGCAGGUGCAACACCCUGUCCAGACCCUUCUCUCCUACAAAGCAAAAGCCAUAAAUCACUUGAAGAGGGAGAGCAAAGCCUCUUGCACCCAGGCAAAGACACAACGUGGUUAAUGAAAAGAUGUAACAAAAACUCCAAUGCUGGGUGAUGAGCAGGUAACUGUCUUGGGCUCAAGGGCCCAUGUUGAUAUUAAGUAGACGUCUCUUACCACUGGAGGAAGAGCAGGAAACGCCUGUCUAAGACCCACCAAAGCAGUUUGACUACUGAAGGAAGAGACCACAUGGGGCAACAGUGCUGGAAAGGCUUUACCCCCAAAGCUCAGGUACACAGAGUCUCCCUGAGACUAAAGCUGGACAAGGCAACAGAGAACCUUCCUGCCCCCUCCACAAGCCUAUCAGGGAGUACCCAGAAACAGCAGUCUACUGCUGGGGAAGGACAAAGCAUGGAGAGAGAUCUACUUUGUGACACAGGCAUUGAAAGACUGGGUGAGUUGAGGGUGGACCACUCACACUGUGAAAACCCUCCAGCACGCCAGCCUUGACCCUAAAUAUAGGCAACAGCAGCACACUGAUCGGAAACCUGGAAGCCUGCGGUCCAAUAAUGGUAACCAUAGCAACAGCAAAAUCCAAAUCCAGCUCAACCUGUAGCUAGCAUGACUCACCCCUCCACCUAAUGACCCAAAACAAGAAGCAUGCCCACUUCCAGGCAUGCAUAUGAUCUAUCUUUUGCUAACCAGUUUUAGUGUGAUAUUUGACAUUCAAUCAAAAAUUAUGAGACAUUAAAAAAGGGCAAGAAAACGCAAAUUAUUUAAAAGAGAUAAAACAACCAAAAAAAUAAGACUCAGAUAUGAUCUUCAUGUUAGAACUAUCAGACAAGUACUUUAAAAUAAUUAUGAUUAAAGUGCUAAAGGAGCUAGUGAAAAAGUGGGCGGCAUGCAUGAAUGGAUGUAGAAUUUCAGCUAAGAGAAAGAAAUUGUAAGAAAGAGUAAACUGGGAAUACAAGAAACAAGAAAAAAGACAAAAUCAGAGAAAAAAAUUUCCUUUGAUGGGCUCAUUAGUACACCCAAGACAGCAAAAUAUGUCAAUAGAAAUUACACAAACUGAAAAAGAAAAAGGAAAGGGGAGAGAACUGGAUUAGAAUAUAUAUGAGCUAAAGACAUACACAAUGGCCUAAUAUAUAUAUAAUUGGAGUCCCAGUGAAAAUGAUUUUCAAAAAUCAAGAAAAACUGAAGACUUUUACAGACAAAGGCCAAAAGAAUUUAUUACUAACAGGUCUGUACUGUUAAAGGAAGUUCUUGAGGCCCAGAGAAUAUGAUACCACACAGAAACUAUACCAAAAAAAAACACCUUCAAAAAUGGUAAAA